GAACUUUCUCUGUGCUACUUUCUUUUCCUCAGGAAUGGAAGACGAGUUAGGAACACAAAGCAAUCUGAGAGUAAAAGAGGAAGAGACCUCCAAGAGGAAGGAACCGGGCUUUAUACCUAAUCUCAAAAAACAUGUCUGAACUGCUGAUCCCAAGGCAUGCUGUGAUUGUAUGAGCUGGUUUAAUUGGAUAUGCGGAUCCGAGUUCACUCCUUGCAUGCACACAGCUAUUUGGAAAGGGAGCUUGUUAAUGAAAGUAGAAGAAAAACUUGAAGGAAAAAGCACGUUUGGCAUUUAACUAGCAAAAGAUUUGCUUUCUUCAUUAAAGUCAUUAUAACUGAG